AACACAAGCCAUAUCACUCUGCAACUCACAACUGGCAACCCACUGAAGCUAAGCAGGUGUGAGCCUGGUCAGUACCUGGAUGGGAGACCUCCUGGGAAAAACUAAGGUUGCUGCUGGAA
ensembl:rRNA 5S_rRNA 5S ribosomal RNA